UGGGGAAUAUUGCACAAUGGGCGCAAGCCUGAUGCAGCCAUGCCGCGUGUAUGAAGAAGGCCUUCGGGUUGUAAAGUACUUUCAGCGGGGAGGAAGGGAGUAAAGUUAAUACCUUUGCUCAUUGACGUUACCCGCAGAAGAAGCACCGGCUAACUCCGUGCCAGCAGCCGCGGUAAUACGGAGGGUGCAAGCGUUAAUCGGAAUUACUGGGCGUAAAGCGCACGCAGGCGGUUUGUUAAGUCAGAUGUGAAAUCCCCGGGCUCAACCUGGGAACUGCAUCUGAUACUGGCAAGCUUGAGUCUUGUAGAGGGGGGUAGAAUUCCAGGUGUAGCGGUGAAAUGCGUAGAGAUCUGGAGGAAUACCGGUGGCGAAGGCGGCCCCCUGGACGAAGACUGACGCUCAGGUGCGAAAGCGUGGGGAGCAAACAGG
rnacentral:rRNA from 1 species